rnacentral:rRNA from 1 species
AACGUAGGACACGAGCGUUAUCCGGAGUUACUGGGCGUAAAGGGCUCGUAGGCGGCCAACUAAGUCGGAUGUGAAAUCCCCAGGCUCAACCUGGGAACUGCAUCCGAUACUGGAUGGCUUGAAUUCGGGAGAGGGAUGCAGAAUUCCAGGUGUAGCGGUGAAAUGCGUAGAUAUCUGGAGGAAUACCGGUGGCGAAGGCGGCAUCCUGGACCGACAUUGACGCUGAGGAGCGAAAGCCAGGGGAGCAAACGGG